UGGAGAUAUAUGCAUAACUGGGGGCACAGUGUCAUAUCAAUGGUUGGAGUGGCAUAUCAUGGGCACAGUGGCAUAUAAGUGUCUAUAAGGCAUAACUGGGGGCACAGUGGCAUAUCAGGGGUUGGAGUGGCAUAUCAGGGGGUAUGUGGCAUAUCAUGGGCACAGUGGCAUAUAAGAGUCUAUAAGGCACACCAGGGGGCUAUAGGGCACUCCAGGGGGGACAGCACAGUGGCAUAUGUGGAGAUAUAAGGCAUAACUGGGGGCACAGUGGCAUAUUAGGGGUUGGAGUGGCAUAUCAUGGGCACAGUGGCAUAUAAGUGUCUAUAAGGCAUAACUGGGGGCACAGUGGCAUAUCAGGGGUUGGAGUGGCAUAUCAGGGGGUAUGUGGCAUAUCAUGGGCACAGUGGCAUAUAAGAGUCUAUAAGGCACACCAGGGGGCUAUAGGGCACUCCAGGGGGACAGCACAGUGGCAUAUGUGGAGAUAUAAGGCAUAACUGGGGGCACAGUGGCAUAUUAGGGGUUGGAGUGGCAUAUCAUGGGCACAGUGGCAUAUAAGUGUCUAUAAGGCAUAACUGGGGGCACAGUGGCGUAUCAGGGGGCAGAGUGGCAUAUAGGGGGAUAUAAGGCAUAUCUGGGGUAGAAAGUGGCAUAUAGGGAAAUAUAAGGCAUAUCUGGGGGGCAGAGUGGCAAGCCUGGGGUCAGAUAUGCAUAACUGGGGGGCAGGUUGGCAAAUAAGAAAAAUAAAAACAAGAAAUACAUUUUUCUCAAUUAUACUUUUUAUUAAAUAUGAAAACAUA